GGACAAUUUGGUACUACAAAGAACCAAACAUACAACAUAAUCAAAAACUCAAACCCUAGCCAUUCAAACAACCUUAUCAUUCAUCACUUCCGGCAAACGGCGAUGUCUCAUUUCGGUAGAUCUGGUCCACCGGACAUCAAAGAUACAUUCUCUUUGCUAGUUCUCAACGUUACUUUCCGUACCACUGCUGAUGAUUUGUUUCCGUUAUUCGAUAAGUAUGGAAAAGUCGUUGAUGUCUUUAUCCCUAGAGACCGAAGGACUGGAGAUUCUAGGGGUUUUGCAUUUGUGCGCUACAAGUAUCAGGAUGAGGCUCAAAAGGCAGUGGAAAAGCUCGAUGGAAGAGUUGUAGAUGGGCGGGAAAUAAUGGUUCGAUUUGCAAAGUACGGCCCAAAUGCUGAGAGAAUUGACAAAGGUAGAAUUUUGGAGCCUGUAGAUAGGACAAAAGGAAGGUCAAGAAGCCGCAGUCCAAGGCCAAGGCAUCGAGAUCAUUAUAGGGACAGGGAUUCUAAAAGGAGAAGCCGAAGUAGAAGUAGAGGGAGGUAUGACCGUGAUCAGUACUGUGGGAGAGACAAAGAUUACCGUCAUCGGAGCAGAAGUCGCAGCCCUGAUUACCACAAAGGUCGUGGGAGAGGUAAAUAUGAUGAGGAGAGACGCAGCCGAAGUCGGUCUCAUGGAAGUGCCUCCCCUGCUCGCCGAAGCCCCUCCCCUGCUCGCCGUAGCCCCUCCCCCGCUCGCCAUAGCCCCAUUCCUCGAAGGAUCCCUUCUCCAUGUAGAACAACCACUUCUAGAGAUUCUAGUCCAGAUGGACGUAAUCACAAGGGCCGGUCUCCUACUCCAAAGAGUAUCUCACCGCGGGGUAGACGUGCUGGUUCUCGCAGCCCCUUGCCGCAUUCUGAUGCUGAUGAUUAAGAAGCAAGGGAGGAGGCCACGGUUGUAAUCUGGCUUUGGUUGAUGCUGCGUAUCAGGACAUUCCCAAAUGAAUGAUCCUUUCAUCUGUAUUCUGCUUGCUAGAACUGAUUGGCCCGACUUAUUUAUAAGCUCCGUGAAAAGUCAGUGUGGCUGAAUCACAAGAUGAUGCAGCAGUUGUUGAUGCUGUUAUAUUUGCUGUUGGUUGUAAUUUUGUUGCUGGUUUGUUCGCUGAAUGGCAAGGAGAUGCAGCAGCUGUAGAAUGCUAUUUUAACUUGGCUCAUAAUAAUUUGUUGCUGGUGACAUACUACUGUUUGUUGGUUGAAUGGCAAGCAGAUGCUGCAGCUGUUGGUGCUGUUUUAGCUUUGCUGUUGUAAUUUUGUUGCCGGUGACAAAUUACCAUUCCUAUACAAAUGUUCAGGAUGCUCAUGAUCGGUAAGGAUAAGAAACUCCUGAAUUACUAAAGUCACGCUAGGUUUAUGCCUUUGGCCUGACAACCAUUUCA